GGUCCCGUAGCUCAACUGGAUAGAGCACCUGCCUUCUAAGCAGGGGGUUGGGGGUUCGAGUCCUCCCGGGAUCGCCA
rnacentral:tRNA from 2 species